rnacentral:lncRNA from 1 species
GCAGGUAAUUUUUAUCUUGCGGUUCAAAAUGUUAAAAAGUCCUAAACCAAGAAACACUACCACCACACACCAGAGAUGACACAAAAAAAAGGCUAGCAACAAAACUGAUUAACAAAAAAAACCUGAUGUUUAAAUGUUUGACUUUAUCAAAUAUCAAAAUAAACCUGAUUAAAAUUUGUAAAAUGGUUCCUCCGAAAGUUCUAGAUGCACACAUUUUUAAAUGAACUUUCUAGUUGAUGACUAAGAUUCAAGCACAACCGAACUGCUGAUUCACCCACCGAGGUGCUAUACAUUAAUGACUGCGAUCAUCAAUGCACGACUACCUUGAGGAUCACGUGCACAGAGUUCACUAUAUAUAAUCUUGACAUCAACAAGAAGCACAGAGUACAAAGAUAGCUUCUAGCAUACCAAGAUGAGCAUUAUAUUCAGCAUUCACAUAUAUUGAGCCUACCUAAGAUAUUGAUCUUAAUUACCAGAGAAACAACUUUGAUAACAGUGCUCACCUUACAUGGUUCAAGGGGAGCUAGUUCAUCCAAACUACCGCCGAAGCCUAACAGAUAACAGGUCACUUUCUGACCACCUGCCACAGUGAUGACAGCCAAACAUGAAAAAUUAUUUUAUUUACUACAAGUCACUUGUGAUUAUAUAUCAUGACAAAUAAUGGCAACAUAAAUGAGAUACUAAAUACAUUGAUAAAGAUAUUCUUUUAUAAAUAAGAUAAAACACAUUGUUUAUACAAGAACUUGCCUCAGAUAACUUUGCCAAAAGAAGACAACUAAAACAAUAUAGAAGUACCAGUAGAAACACCACAACAGGAGUUUUAAUAUAAUGCAUUCCACCACCAUCUCUUAGAAUAAAGAUCCAAUAUUCCUUCAAGUCUCAUAAAUUUUCAAUAUACCUCUUAAAUUGGAUCCCAACAGACAAUAACUACUUGGGGCCAAUAUCCUUCAGAGCACAAAUCUGUUCCUCACCCAUCGCAGACAUCACAGUAACAACCAGAUCUUUGCCCUCUGCAAACCCAUCUUUGAUCUGGCAAAAAUUAAACAUAAUUUCAGGCAAAAAAUAUUAGAUUCCCAAAAAAACCUUUUUAAUCAAAGACAAACAGAAUCGUUGUAAAAAUUUUAACAGGAUCAUAAAGCCAACAUAACACAGGCAUUUAGGUAUACAAGUAUAUCUCAGUGCAAGUGAGCAGCUUGGUGUUCAGCUCAAAUCUCAGCUUGUUCAUUAGCAACCUAAGCCAAUCCAAAUAGAACUUUCAUCUCUCAGAUGAUCCGAACAGAGAAAAAGAAACAUGUUCAUCAUCUUCAGUCCAUCAAGAGUUUAACAGAAAAUAUUUUGUGUACCCUUUAAACCUAUGGUCAAAUAAACUGUUAGGAAAGAUUAAGAUGACACGGUGGGAUUUAUAAAUGUGUUUGUAGCAAGGAUUGAAAUAUCGUAUCGUACCGGAGUUUCGACGUUCGCUCGUUACGGUACGAUACUGUAUACCGAACGGUAUACCACUCGGUAUGUAUAUAUAUAUAUAUAUAUAUAUAUAUAUAUAAUUCAAUGACGUCGUUUCUCUCUUCUCGCAAGCGGGGCGACGCCACCUCGUGUGUGUGUGUGUGUGUGUAUAUAUAUAUAUACAUAUAUAUACAUAUAUAAAUACAUACAUAUAUAUACAUAUAUAUACAUACAUAUAUAUACAUAUAUAUACAUACAUAUAUAUACAUAUAUAUAUAUAUAUAUAUCGUUCCAUCCGGUAAUGGACGGUCCAUGUACUGGUCAGUUGAUGGACCGGUAUCGCCCGUACCAAAUGGUAUUAUUCGAAAUUGCAUACCUUGACUUUGUAGUUAUAGGGUUUAUAAAACCUAAUCAUUUAUACUUUUUUUUUCCAAUGCCGCUACUUUCCUCCAUGCAAUACUCCUUCCCCACUCCAUCGACCAAUGCCUUGCCUCCUCCAUUCCUAUUCCUCUCCUCCAAGCUUCUAAUUCCCACACAUCUGCCUUCUUCCCCAAUCCUGGUAGCACCUCAUUUUACCUUCCAUAAGAAUUUAGAAGACUGAUAGAGGUAAAAUUGUGCAUCCCACACUAACUUGACAUUUGGACAUUGAAUGUCAAAAAUUAAUUGGCAUAUUGAACUCACCACAUCAGCAUCAACCACAACGGAAAGUAUUCUCCGAAUCAAGAAUGGUCAAUGGAAUACUUCCCUACAUGUAGGCAGUUAAGUACCCCUGACUACAAAUAGAUGGCCCUUUGACAAUAGCCCAAGUUCUUCUCUCUCGUCAUUCUCCCUACCCUCUAUCCAAACAAACCCACUGAUUUAGGCAUUGGAGGGACCGACCCAUGGGUACACCCGACACUGUUCUUUUGUUGCAAGAACAAAGGCUCAUGGAGACUUGGUUGGACUUCACGGAUCCUCAUCCUCCAUCCACCAUCAUUCCUCCAGACACACAAAGGGCAAUCCUAGUUCCAGCAUCAAUCUCCGGCUUGGAACCUCUCUGGUUCCAGGUCGUCGACUGACCAUAAGACUAACAAUGACUUGAAAAACUGUUGUGAAAGUUAUGAAGAAUCCAGUCUAACAUUCAUUGCAAACUAAUGCAUCCUUAAAGCAAGUGCGUUCACACCAAUAACAAACAUACACAGAUUGAACUCCAGACCAAGUUGAUCACAAAUUCCUGUGCAAUAACAGAAUAAUAAGCUAGCAAUUUUUUUUAACAUACAUUCUCAAACUCAAAUAGUCAGCAGAAAUAUAAUAAGGGAUCCUUGCUGCAAUGCAAAGCCCAUAAAGGGAGCAAAUAUAGAUGAUGUGUUAACACAUAAGCUUCACCAAUUCAGAUAACAUAAAGAACUUCCAGCUAUUCUGAGCCAAGAGCAAAUUUUGUAACUACCAACAUAAAGGUGUUGAUACUACAGAUAGGGCAAGCAAUGCAAGCAUCCAGAAUAGUGCAAAAUGUCUGGAUUCUAACUAAAUGUCACAAAAAAUUUAUAUGAUAUUUUGAGAUAAUUUAAAUCAGAUUACCAUGAUGGACCAGCAACCAAUGACUUUGAUUUUGUACAUAAAGCAUGAAAGAUCAUCACACUAUGGACAAAAAAGCAUUCUUUUAUAUAUUUAGUUUAUAAUUAUAGUGAUCAUUGAUUGUCUAUUUAACAACAGAAGCCUUCAUGGAAAAAGAAUCCCUUUCUUUUCCCCUGUUGGUACCACUGAAAGGAAAUUAAUAAUGAUGAGGACUUAUACAUGUCAAAAAGUUACUCAUGAUAUUCAUCAUGUCAUUAAUCAUGGAUGUCGUCAUGUCAAACUGUAUACAUAAUUAGCAUAAUCAAUAAUAUCUAACUAACUAUAUUUCCACCAUCAUGUAAUUGCUUGUAGAGUGCAAGUUGUUUGUUUUCUGUUUAAAACAUUUACUGUGUGCUUCUUAGUCAAGACUACUGUCCUUUAAAACAUAAAUGACAUUCAAAAAGGUCAUUACUUACUAAAAACUCUGGAUACUAUAAGUUAAAUUUCUUUAUCCCAACUUAGAUCAGAUUUUUAAAAAAUUAAAAAUGGCAAAGAAAAUAAAUCUUCAUCACCAACCUGAGCUAACAAAGUUUCAUCAGUCGGGAGUCUCAAAUCAUCUUUGGUGUUACCAUUUUCAGUCAGAAGGCUCACCUAACAUACACAACCAAAUAGUUAUGAGAAAACCACCAAUUAAGAAAGAAACAUUAUAUGAAAACAUAUAACAACAUACAAAUCCAUCUUCAGAAAUGUCAAUCAGUUGAUAAUCAGUUCGAGUGACAUGUGGAACCUGCAGAUAAACCAAACAAAUUCAAAUACAUACAUACAAAUGCAAAUUAACACAUAUAAAUAUAAUAUAUCAAGAAACAUACAUCACAGUUGUGAGAAGAUGGCACAAUAUCCUCAAGCUUUUUUGCAUUGAAGAUAUCUAUGGCAACAAAGUGACAUUUUGCAUGACCAUGCUUCCCAGUCUUGGAGGUUGACACUUCAACAACCUAUAAAACAAUGAGAGAAUGAAGCAGUUUAUAAUCACAAUAACAAGUAAAGUGAACUACUAUACAGCCAUAAAUAGCAUGUACGAUUGAACAACAAAUAUGGUGCAUUAUUCCAGAGACACAAAUCAUGUAGAUGAUCCAGGUGUACAUCAUAUAUCACGACAUGGAUGACCUUUAGAGCAAAAUAUCCAAAAAAUUCUGCAGGCCUCAGAAUACCUAAAAAAAAGAAACACAUUUAUACCUAAGAAAAGAAGUACAACCGUGGAACAAAAAGAAUUCCACAAGGUAAGGAGACGAUAAGGUUGCAUACUUCACCAAAAAACUCAGGAAAGAUAAAUCCUGUGAGUUAGCACUACUAGUUUUCCUCGACUGUUAGUCCAUGUCGGAUGAGGAGGAUUGCACGAGUUUUUGUUCUUCCAAUAUGUACAAGAAUUAGGAUUUUCUUCACUUCGUGGAAGUGCAAUGUGUGUAACUGCGCUCAGAUUGGAUUAAAAGUGUUCAUAAAGAAACUGUGAACAGGAAUUUCUCCAGAUCCUGUCAUCCAUCAAUUCUUCGUUGACAUACAUUCCACUACCUUCAAUCGAUAGCCACUACAUGCCCAGAAGAUAUGAACCAAGACCGUGCAAAUUCCACCUUGAACCAUCACAACAACAUCUCAAUUGAUGUUCCAUAGUUGCAUAUUGCAGAAAAAAAUUGGAAACUCACCAGAAACAUUGGAUAAAAGAAGAUUAAAGCCCAAGAGAUCCCGAUCAAAACCGAAAUAGCCCAGAAAAGAGACGAUCAUGAGAUAGAUUCCAAGGUAUAUACGACAGAUCACCAAAACUAUAUAUCCAGAAAUGCAUCAAAGGAGAGCAGAGGUUGUGAGGAGUGGAUCAGGAACCUUGCAGGGCCUGUUCUUGAUGACGAUGUACCCGUUCUUGCGGAUCGUUCCAGCCUGCUGCGGGUAGGUCUUGGACGCUCCGGCAUCGGCCUUCGACUCG